rnacentral:tRNA from 1 species
GUCUCUGUGGCGCAAUCGGUUAGCGCUGCUCGCUGUUAACCGAAGGUUGGUGGUUCGAGCCCACCCAGGGACG